rnacentral:lncRNA from 1 species
GAGCAUCUCAUGAGUGGCAAGGUUUUUCUCAUUGUUUUUCUACAGCUGCACAGCAUCCCACGGGCUAUGUUUACUCAGAUUCCUGCUGCCUCACCUUGAUGUUGGAGUUGCUUCCUGCUCUGUGGUGCUCUGUGGUUUCCCACCAUGCACUGGAGCCUUGGAGAAAGUCUGCAGUGCAGAUGUGGGUGGAAGAGCAGAUCGCUGCGGGGCAGAGGGCUUCUGAGAGGAGAGGCAGGAGAGCCCCUGACCUCAUCCCUGAAGAUGCUGGGAAGUCUCUGAUUUCUAACGGGAACUGGAAUGUGCUAUGUUUAGUGAUCCCUGACUACUGUGCUGACCCCAGUGUCCUUCACACCUCUCCCAUCACACCCUUUCUGUGGUGGCUGGGAAUGCUGGGUUCUGAAGACAUCCUGAAUAUUGAGCCAAGAAGCCUUGCUGUGACUGAAGGAUUCUGGCUUCUGGCAGUUCUGAGAAAGUGGCUCUGAAGAUGCUUCCUGCAGUGGGCACAGAGGCCCAAAGGCCUCUCCCAUUGAUUCUGUCCAGCAUGUCGGUGACCAGGCAAAGAAAAUGUGCAAACCUUGUUCUGUCAAGGACCCCUGUGUUUAUUUGUAUACUCAUUUCCCACACAUGCUUCAGUGAAACACAAGUUUAAGGUCUUACCUGGCUUAGAGGGCACAUGGG